AGAGCCUAGGAAGAUUUGGGGGUCGCCUUGCCGGCCUCCUGUCCUCCUCCGGCGGCGGCGGAGCCCGAGAGAACUAGGUGAACACCGCUUUGCCAGCCUCACACAGCGUCCCCUGGCUCUGCCGCCGCUCCGGACGUCGCCCUCCCGUUCUGCUUGGGUCCCCUUAGUCGCUACCUUUGCUGGGAUCCCCCUCCUCCAUCCUGUGGCUUCGGGUUGCCGAAGAGCGAUGCUCGGAGGGCGGCCGGAAGUGGCGUUGGCCGCCAUUGGCCUGCCGGCCAGCCACCUUGCUGUCCUCCGCCGCCUUCCGGGUGUUACAUGCAGCCGGGCUCGGCCCCUCCCCCUGGCCGGAUGGAUCCGUCGGCGCCACAGCCCCGCGCGGAAACCUCAGGCAAAGACAUAUGGCAUCCAGGAGAAAGAUGUCUUGCCCCUUCUCCAGAUAAUGGAAAACUUUGUGAAGCAAGCAUAAAAUCUAUCACAGUGGAUGAAAAUGGCAAGUCAUUUGCAGUCGUCUUAUAUGCAGAUUUUCAAGAAAGGAAAAUACCUCUUAAACAGCUUCAAGAAGUGAAAUUUGUUAAAGAUUGCCCUAGGAAUCUUAUAUUUGAUGAUGAAGAUUUAGAAAAACCUUAUUUCCCAAACCGAAAAUUUCCAUCAUCUUCUGUUGCUUUUAAAUUAUCUGACAAUGGAGACUCUAUUCCUUAUACCAUCAAUAGGUAUUUGAGAGACUACCAAAGAGAAGGAACCCGGUUUCUUUAUGGACACUACAUCCAUGGAGGAGGGUGCAUUCUGGGUGAUGACAUGGGACUUGGAAAAACAGUACAGGUUAUUUCAUUUCUGGCUGCAGUUUUGCAUAAAAAGGGAACUCGUGAGGAUAUUGAAAAUAACAUGCCAGAGUUUUUACUAAGAAGUAUGAAAAAGGAACCCCUUUCUUCUACAGCAAAAAAGAUGUUCUUAAUAGUUGCUCCUCUUUCUGUCCUCUACAACUGGAAGGAUGAAUUGGACACCUGGGGAUAUUUCAGAGUCACUGUUUUACAUGGAAACAGAAAAGAUAAUGAAUUAAUUCGUGUAAAGCAGAGGAAAUGUGAAAUUGCUCUAACAACUUAUGAAACACUACGCUUAUGCCUGGAUGAACUUAACAGUUUGGAAUGGUCAGCUGUCAUUGUGGAUGAAGCUCAUAGAAUCAAGAAUCCAAAAGCUAGAGUAACAGAAGUUAUGAAAGCUUUGAAAUGUAAUGUCCGCAUUGGCCUCACUGGAACCAUCCUUCAGAACAACAUGAAGGAACUGUGGUGUGUUAUGGACUGGGCUGUGCCAGGCCUUUUAGGGAGUGGGACCUACUUCAAGAAGCAGUUUUCUGACCCAGUAGAACAUGGUCAGAGACACACGGCAACAAAGAGAGAACUAGCCACUGGCCGAAAGGCCAUGCAAAGACUUGCCAAAAAGAUGUCUGGCUGGUUUCUCAGGCGCACCAAGACUCUUAUCAAGGAUCAGUUGCCUAAGAAGGAAGACCGGAUGGUGUAUUGUUCUUUGACAGAUUUCCAGAAAGCUGUCUAUCAAACAGUGUUAGAAACAGAGGACGUGACUUUGAUACUUCAAUCUUCUGAGCCUUGUACCUGUAGGAGUGGCCAAAAAAGGAGAAAUUGUUGUUAUAAGACCAAUUCUCAUGGUGAAACAGUGAAAACCUUGUAUCUCAGUUACCUUACAGUCCUUCAGAAGGUAGCUAACCAUGUCGCGCUACUGCAAGCUGCUAGUACUUCCAAACAACAGGAAACACUUAUCAAAAGGAUAUGUGAUCAGGUAUUUUCCAGAUUCCCAGAUUUUGUGCAGAAAAGCAAAGAUGCAGCCUUUGAAACACUUUCUGACCCUAAAUACAGUGGAAAAAUGAAGGUCCUUCAGCAGCUUUUAAAUCAUUGCAGGAAAAACAGAGAUAAAGUUCUUCUCUUUUCUUUUUCCACCAAGUUGCUUGACGUGCUACAGCAGUACUGUAUGGCGUCUGGGCUUGAUUACCGACGACUUGAUGGAAGUACAAAAUCAGAGGAAAGACUCAAGAUUGUAAAAGAGUUCAACAGUACACAAGAUGUUAACAUUUGCCUUGUCUCUACAAUGGCUGGUGGACUAGGCCUCAAUUUUGUCGGUGCCAAUGUUGUUGUAUUAUUUGAUCCUACUUGGAAUCCAGCCAAUGAUCUUCAAGCCAUUGACAGAGCAUAUAGGAUUGGACAAUGUAGAGAUGUCAAAGUGCUUAGGCUGAUAUCCUUGGGAACUGUGGAGGAAAUCAUGUAUUUACGACAGAUAUACAAGCAGCAACUUCACUGUGUGGUGGUUGGAAGUGAAAAUGCCAAACGAUAUUUUGAAGCAGUUCAAGGAUCUAAAGAGCAUCAAGGAGAGCUUUUUGGGAUCCAUAACCUCUUCAAAUUUAGGUCCCAAGGGUCUUGUCUUACGAAGGACAUCCUGGAGAGAGAAGGCCAAGUAGAAGCAGGGAUCAUGACAGCCACAACAUGGUUGAAAGAGGGACCUCCAGCACACAAACUGGAAAUGCCUAGACAGCCUGACUGUCAGGAAUGCAGAGGUACAGAACAAGCUGCAGAGCCACUGGCAAAGGAAGCAUGUGAUCUCUGCAGUGACUUCAGUGAUGAAGAGCCAGUGGGAGCCACAGGAAUAAAGACUGCCAAAAACAAAGCACCCGAUUCAAGUAAAGCUUCCAGCUCUCCAGGACAGCUUACCUUACUCCAGUGUGGUUUCUCGAAAUUGCUUGAAACAAAAUGUAAAGCAGUUGAGGAUAGUGAUGGAAAUACUGCCUCUGAUGAUGAAAGUUCUGAUGAGCAGCCCACAUGCCUUUCAACAGAAGCCAAAGAUGCUGGUUGUGAGAAAAAUCAGGACUCUCUUGGUACUUCAAAACAUCAGAAAUUAGAUAACAUCCUAAAUCCAAAAGAAAAGCAUAUUUUUUAUAAAAGUGAGAAGAUUUUAGAACAGAAUAUUUCUUCCAAGUCUGACGAGAAAAAAAUUAAAAAUACAGAUAAACAUUGCAUUUUACAGAAUGUCACAGAAUCAGAAGAUAGUGAUGUCAUCUGUCCUACACAAUACACAACUGAGAGAUUCCCCGACAAUAGUAUAAGGUUUAAGCCACCCUUGGAAGGAUCUGAGGAUUCUGAAACAGAACACACUGUAAAAACAAGAAAUAAUGAUAAUAGUCGAAACACUGAUGACAAAAGAAAUGGAAUAAUUUCAAAAAAGUUAAGUCCUGAGAACACAACCCUGAAAUCUAUUUUGAAAAGAAAAGGCACCAGUGAUAUCAGUGAUGAAUCUGAUGACAUUGAAAUUUCUUCCAAGUCAAGAGUAAGAAAGAGAGCUAGUUCAUUGAGGUUUAAGAGAAUAAAAGAAACCAAAAAAGAACUUCACAAUUCUCCCAAAACAAUGAACAAAACAAACCAAGUGUAUGCAGCAAAUGAGGAUCAUAACUCUCAGUUUAUUGAUGAUUAUUCAUCCUCAGAUGAGAGUUUAUCCGUCAGCCACUUCAGUUUCUCUAAACAGAGCCACAGACCAAGAACUAUAAGAGACAGAACUAGUUUUUCUUCAAAAUUGCCUAGCCAUAAUAAGAAAAAUAGCACUUUUAUUCCAAGAAAACCAAUGAAAUGUUCAAAUGAGAAAGUUGUUAAUCAAGAGCAGUCGUAUGAAUCAAUGGAUAAAUUUUUAGAUGGCGUUCAGGAAGUGGCUUAUAUUCACUCAAACCAGAAUGUAAUUGGAUCGAGCAAAGCUGAAAAUCACAUGAGCCGAUGGGCAGCACAUGACGUAUUUGAGUUGAAGCAGUUUUCUCAGCUGCCUGCUAACAUAGCUGUUUGCAGUUCUAAGAAGUUUGGAAGAAGUUGAUUCCAGCCCUCAUGGAUGACUUUGAGAGAUUCAAGACUUUAGUGGGGGAACUAACUGUAGAUGUGGUGGAAGCAGCAAGAGAACUAGAAUUAGAAAUGGAGCCUGAAGAUGGGACUGAACUGCUGCAAUCUCAUGAUAAAACUUUAACAGACAUAUAAAGAAAAAGUGGAUGCAGAUACAUUGCCACACACAAAGAAAGGCCAGCAACCGAGUGAAGGCAGCAUUUCACUUCCUCUUUACAUUUCAAAUCCUGUAAACCAGAAGAAGAAAAAAGUCUACCAUACAAACCAGACCACCUUCAUAAUUGGAGAAACACCAAAAGGAAUCCGCAGAAAACAAUUUGAAGAAAUGGCCUCUUAUUUUAACUCGUCUUCUGUAAACGAAUUUGCUAAACAUAUAACCAAUGCCACAUCAGAAGAACGACAGAAAAUGCUAAGAGACUUUUAUGCUUCUCAAUAUCCAGAGGUAAAAGAAUUUUUUGUGGAUUCUGUGUCACAAUUCAACAAUUCUUCCUUUGAGAAAGGAGAGCAGCGCACCCGGAAGAAAUCUGAUAAAAGAGAAUCUCUUAUAAAACCAAGGCUGUCAGAUUCUGAAACCUUGUCAUUUAAAGAUUCUACCAACAAAAUUUCUCAAGUUUGCAGCCUAAAAACAUAUAAAAGAAAAUCAGUUAAGUUUCAGAAUCAUAUUUCCUAUAGAGAAGAGGUGUUUUUUAAUGAUGCAGAAACUAAGAAAUCACCUGUUAGUUCUACUCAAGAGAUUGACAGUGGGAAAAACAGCCAGGCAUCCGAAGAUACUGUGACAUCCCGUUCUCUGAACAGUGAGUCUGAAACACGUGAGAGAAGGUUAGAAAAUACCAUGAAAGACCAACAGGACCUCACAAGAACGGGCAUUUCAAGAAAAGAACCCCUUCUCAAAUUGGAAAACAAAAAGAUAGAAAAUCCAGUGCUGGAAAAUACUUCUGUGAUAAGCUUACUUGGUGAUACCUCUAUUCUUGAUGACCUUUUUAAAAGUCAUGGGAACAGUCCCACACAACUGCCAAAGAAAGUUCUUUCAGGGCCCAUGGAAAAAGCAAAACAGAGACCAAAAGAUUUCUGGGACAUCUUGAAUGAGCAGAAUGAUGAGAGUCUUAGUAAACUCACAGACUUGGCAGUAAUAGAGACUCUGUGUGAAAAAGCACCUCUAGCAGCACCCUUUAAAAGGAGAGAAGAGCCAGCAACUUCUCUUUGGAAAUCAAAUGAGAAAUUUUUAUGGAAGAAAUUUAGCCCAAGUGAUACAGAUGAAAACGCAACCAAUACACAGAGUACCACAUAAGCAUAUAAAUGAAUUACUGCACCAGUAAACUGCUGCCAUCACUGUUUACGGCACUGGAUUCCACACUGAUUCUAUUAUCUUGAACACAGUUGUUGACAUAUAUUUUUAUUAAAUUAUUGCUUUAGGAUUUUUUGAAGUCUAAAGUAUUGUCAUGGAUCUGUUUUUCUUGAUAUUUGAUUUGAUCUUUCAAGAAUAUGAUUGUAUUUAUAGUAUAAACCUCUGUUAUGAAUUAGAAAAGAUUCUAGGUUUGUUAAUAGGAGACCUGGGACAUCUUUCUUACUAUAUUACAUAAUGAUGUGACACUUGCCCCGGUGAGCAUUGUUUCCCAGUAUGAAAGAUGAAGAGUCUGUACCGAAUCAGCAUGAGUGUCCUUCCAGUUUAAAAAAGCUUUGCUUCGCUCUCCUAAUGGCUCAUAGGCUGAAUCAUGUCUGCCCCUCAAAUCAGGUGUAUACCAAUGUGUUUUUUACUAGCACUUGGGAAAGUUAUUAAGUAUUUUCUUUUUCCCUGGGCAUCAUGUUCUAUUAUUAUUUUAGAAAAAAGUCAUAAUUGGUACUGAAUAUAUGGUAUAUAUAAUAUUAAAAUGGUAAUUUUGCAACAGCUCAAAAUUAAAAGGUUAAUGUUAUACACUUUACUAUAUGAGCUGUGAUUACUACCAUUAGCCACAGAUACCAGUGCCUCAACUUUUUAUGUACCUAUUGUGAUUUAAUGUAAAUAAAGGUUUGUAUAGUACUUUUGUAGUUCUUAAGUAUGAAGAAAUGGGUAAACUUUUUAUUUUGUUAGAAACUGUUAUAUUUUGAGUGUAAUAUUUAUGGUUUAUAGCAAAAUGAAUGUGCUUAUUGUUGAAUGCAUGUAUUUAGAAGCCUUUACUCAGCCCCUGUGUUCUGUGCUAGGAGCUUGAGCUCUACAGGUAAGGCAGAGCUACCGGUGAAUGAAAGGAAAUCAUGUCAGUGAAAAAUCAUGGUGGAAAGCCCCUGGCAUCACAUGUGCAUGCUGUAGGCAGGACCUGAGCUGCCUCCGCUGCAGGUUCAGAUGCACCGCUGCAGCUGUCCUUCAGUUAGUUCACAGGGCUGCAAGAGGAGGACACAUCCCUCCAGAAAACAGCCUGAGCCGGGAACUGGCUGUGCUAAAGAGCACUGCUAUCAAGUUGAGGAGAGAGGGCUUCCGUGUACUCAGGAUGUAGAGUCAUUGCUCAGAAGUGAACAAAAAAUCAAAAACAAAAGUCUUCUCAAGGGACUGAUCGGCCAAGUAUGCUUUUCUUUAGAGCAAUGUUUUGCCCUAGAGAAUUGUAAAAUUUAUGUCAUGACUCAGUACAUAUGUGUUCGUACAUAUAUGAUUGGAAUAAAAUGUUUAUGAAAUAUUUACUCAUAAGCCAUGUAACAUACUUUGACAUUUUUCUCUUCUAGGAUUGUGUUUGGUAGGGCAGUGGGUUUGUGUGUGUGUUAAUCCUCUCACAACCCACUGAAUUGAAUUUCAUGGCCCAUGGUUAAGAUCCACAGUGUGAAAACGCUGUUUUAAAUUAUAUGAGUUCGUCAUUUGUUUGCUCUGUGCAGCUGAGUUGUGUCCAGACUUACCAGAUGGUAUGUUUUGCCAUUGAGGGGCCUUCUACACAAUGAGUGCAUGAUAUGGUCCUUGAUAGACUUGACUUGUAGAUGUUUUCAGCCUACAAUGUGAUCAGCUAUCUGAGGAACUCCAGUAAGUAGAUACCACUUCAUUUCAGUUUAUAUACAAGACAAUGUAGUUCAAACAUUUUAAUACCUUGUAAAUUAUGAUAUUCAUAUAAAUAUUAGCUCUAUAGUCUUCAUAUAUGUACAGUUUUUUUUUUUUUUUUUUUUUUUUUGAGAUUGAGUCUCACUCUGUCACCCAGGCUGGAGUACAGUGGCAUGAUCUUGGCUCACUGCAACCUCCACCUCCCUCCCAAACAACUCUUAUGCCUCAGCCUCCUGAGUAGCUAGGAUUACAGGUGUGUACCACCACACUCAGCUAAACAUUUUUUUUUUUUUUUGAGACGGAGUCUCACUCUGUCGCCAGGCUGGAGUGCAGUGGCUCGAUCUUGGCUCACUGCAGCCUCCGCCCCCCGAGUCAAGCAAUUCUCCUGCCUCAGCCUCCCGAGUAGCUGGGACUACAGGUGCGUGCCACCACGCCCAGCUAAUUUUUUUGUGUUUUUAGUAGGGAUGGGGUUUCACCAUGUUGGCCAGGCUGGUCUCAAUCUCCUGGCUGCAAGCGAUCCACCUGCCUUGUCCUCCCAAAGUGCUGGGAUUACAGGUGUGAGCCACCAUGCCCAGCCAAUAAAUGCUAUUAAAGAAACUUUUAGGCCGGGCACAGUGGCUCACGCCUGUAAUCCCAGCACUUUGGGAGGCCGAGGCAGGCGGAUCACAAGGUCAUGAGAUCGAGACUAUCCUGGCUAACGCGGUGAAACCCCGUCUCUACUAAAAAAAAAAAAAAUACAAAAAUUAGCCAGGCGUGGUGGUGGGCGCCUGUAGUCCCAGCUACUCGGGAGGCUGAGGCAGGAGAAUGGCGUGAACCUGGGAGGCAGAGCUUGCAGUGAGCCAGGAUUGUGCCCCUGCACCCCAGCCUGGGUGACAGAGCAAGACUCCAUCUCAAAAAAGGAAACUUUUAUCAAUAGUAGUCAAAAUGGGAGCAAAAAUGCAGAACUGGAGUUUAAAAAUUAGUUUCCAACAGUUGUCAGUGAAAUAUUUAUCACUAUUAUGUAGGAAAGUGUGUCAGGUGGAAUGCAGAGUCCAGUAUGAAAAGGAGCCUGUUUCAGAACGGAAACUGUCAGGUGGAGUGGACUCCCUGCAAUGGAGUGAUGGAAAGAUUUGGUACAACCAUUGAUGACCUGAGAACAGACACUAGGAAGGUUUGACAAGAUCCUUCCUACCCCCACUCCACUGGUGAUGUGUCACCAAGUUCUGCUAACUAAAUGGGUGGCCUCAAGCAAAUCCCUUACCUCCUUUUAGCCUUAGUUUCCCCUUUAAAUUGGUGAUGGAUUAGAUCAGUGGUGGUCAGCCAUUUUCUUAAAGCAACUGAACUGUAUCUUAAUCAGAAACUUAACUAGUAAAACAAUUAAAAUGCAAGUCUGUUGCUUCAAGCAACACCACUGUGGCUCCAUGGAGCACUAAUUUGAAAACCACAGAGAUGAGAUCAUUUCUAAGAAAACCUUUCAACUUUGUUUCCAUGAUGCUACUUGCCACAAUCUUUUUUACUUAAGCAAUGAUACCGUUUCUGGCUGAACACUCACCACACAGCUAUUAAUAUUGGAAACUGAGGCAAGAUACCAAGAGAUUUUUGCACUUGAAUUCCUCAGGGUUCUCUUACAGCCCUGAAAACACCUCUUCAAGGAAAUAAAUAACAUCUGCAAAUGGUGCAGCUGCCCCUAAGUAUUCAAGGCAAAGAAGCCUUAGUUUGCAGAGAUGAUGAUAAACUUUUCAUCCUUCCACAGAAAAUGAGAAAGCCACAGGAAAUACACGGUUAUUUUCUAAUUAAAGUUCAAUGUGUACGCUUUUAAAUUCUGAAGUUAUCCUUCUUUUAUGAUAUCAAAAUAGCCCUCUUUUUUGAAAUGAUGGUAGAUCAUACCUUUUGGUCUUUUUCAUUGUCCUUACAUAAAAGUUGGUAAUCAUAUGUCAGUCCCAGAAGUUUUAUUUGACACUUACUGGUCUAUAAAAUCCAAAGGAAUGGGGAUCACUGCCUGCCUUAAAGGUUUUUUUGUGUGUUUGUUUGUUUGUUUGUUUGCAUGUGAAGGAUUUUUAUGUCACAAAUCCAGCUAACAGUGGAUCUAGGAUCUAGGCCUCACCGAGGAUGUCACUGAACCUGUCAGCCCCAAUGACAGGCACACACCUUCAAAGAGCAAGAGUGCCCAUCACUUUCUAGGCUCCUUGCCUGCUGCUCAUUCCAUCAUCACGGAUACAGACUUGUUUCUGGUUUCAUCUUCCACCAGAGAUUGCAAAGCAUCCUCUGCCCAGUGCUUCUAGGAGGCCUUACUGGGAUGGUUCAUAAGCCACUUUCCUCUUGGUGACAGCCCCUGUACACUGUGGCAUGUACGGCUGGCUCCACUUGGUAUUUGUUGCAGGAGGGAAGAACAUCUCACUUUUGCUUGGCUAAAGGGCCACCCCAGGAGAGCUAUUUUGCCUCAGGGUCUUGCAGGGUUUCUCUAGGAAAACAGUGCAUCUGAUAGUUACUCUCUGCCCCUAGGAGGAAAGACAGAUUCGCCCUUCCUUCCCAAGUCCCAGGCUGUGUGGUUCCCAGCCCCAAGGGUAGCAAGUCAGAACCUCCGGAGAGGCUUUUAAGCAUGCACAUGUCCAGGGUCCUCAUCAAGAGACUGAAUCAGGGGGUCUAGGGCUCAGCACAGGCACCCUUUUUGUUUUUGCAGUUUCACAGGAAUUCUGAUGUGCCAGUGAUUGUCAGGUUUGUCCCUGGGCAGGACCCACCUGCCUGACCUUCUGUCCCCCUGGGACACAGUAUUUCCAGAGAGGUGCUUCAGUUGCCCCACCACGACUUCCAGCGCCCCCCAUCUCUGUAUGCAGCUGAGCUCAUGAUGGAGCCCACUGUGUGCUUUUUGUUGUUGUUACAUUCCUAUAAAAAUGUCCACGCAUAUUUGAACAUCUGUGUUCAUAGUGGCAUUAUUCACAAUGGCUACAACACGAAGAAAGCAUUCCAAGUACCUAUCGAUGAAUAAGCAAAAUAUUACACACACAGGAAUAUUAUUCAGCCUUGAAAGGAAAUUCGGACACGUGCUACAACAUAGAUGAAUCUUGAGGACGGUAUGCAAAGUGAAAUAAAUCAGACACAGAAGGACAAAUACUGUAUGAUUCCACUUAUAUAAAGUACCUAGAUUAGUCAGAUUCAUAGAGACAAAGUAGAAUGGUGGUUGCUAGACGCUGGAGGGAGGGGAGAAAGGGGAGUUAUUAAUGGGUGUAGAGUUUCUGUUACACAGGAUGCAAAGUGGCCUGAAGAUGGAUGGUCGUGAUGGUUGCACAGCAAUGUGAAUUUAAUGACACUGAAGUGUACACUUAAAAGUCAUUAAAAUGCUAAAUUUUGUAUGUGUUUUACAAUUUUAAAAAUGGAAAAAAAGUAAGACCAAAAGCAACACCUCUCCAGAAUGUGUGUUAUAUACCAAAUUUUGAUGUAUGUGAGAUUGCUGACUAUAUUUUACUUAUCAAUUUGAAAUUAUAUUGUUUUUAUGUUGACACUCCAUAUAAGCCAUUAUUUUGAAAAAAACAUUUUCCUUAUUAAAAGAUUGGAAAAAAA